rnacentral:rRNA from 1 species
AGUGAACGCUGGCGGUAGGCCUAACACAUGCAAGUCGAACGGCAGCACAGUAAGAGCUUGCUCUUACGGGUGGCGAGUGGCGGACGGGUGAGGAAUACAUCGGAAUCUACUUUUUCGUGGGGGAUAACGUAGGGUAACUUACGCUAAUACCGCAUACGACCUACGGGUGAAAGCAGGGGAUCUUCGGACCUUGCGCGAUUGAAUGAGCCGAUGUCGGAUUAGCUAGUUGGCGGGGUAAAGGCCCACCAAGGCGACGAUCCGUAGCUGGUCUGAGAGGAUGAUCAGCCACACUGGAACUGAGACACGGUCCAGACUCCCACGGGAGGCAGCAGUGGGGAAUAUUGGACAAUGGGCGCAAGCCUGAUCCAGCCAUACCGCGUGGGUGAAGAAGGCCUUCGGGUUGUAAAGCCCUUUUGUUGGGAAAGAAAAGCAGCAGGUUAAUACCCCGCUGUUCUGACGGUACCCAAAGAAUAAGCACCGGCUAACUUCGUG